GCGACGCACAUUGUCCAACCUUGCGCAGCCAACGUUCUUCGUGUUGCAAAAAACGAACAUGGCUGCCGUGUGGAAAAUUUUUGCCGUCGAUUUUGUCAAUAUUAAACAAGUUUCUCAAAUUGAACCGCAAGCGAGGCGACUGUUUUGAACAAUAGCGAAUCGACCGCAAGUUUUCCAUUAGCCAGUGCCAGCAUAAGCAGCAAUCGUGCCAGCCUACAAAGUCCAAGGCAAGGGAAUGUGUAAAACCAUGCAUGUAAAGCCCCGUAAAAUUGAAUAGUGUGCGUUGAAAUUGUGUGACGGAGAAAUGCAAACAAAGUGAAUAAG